GACUGUGGGAACAAUCUGCGAGGUGCAUCUGUGGUCCCGCUGGUUGCCAGGUGUCUUGGAGACUUCCGUGCCAUCUCUCCCCUCGUGCCAUUUGCAUCCCUCCCGAGGCUGUGGGCUGCGUCCAAGAGAAUGACCUUCCUAGACAGAAGAGGGCAGCUCUCCAGGGAAAGAUACAGGAGCAACUUCCCUCUGCUGCUGGAACCCACGACUAUGGGAUUAAAAUGCUGUGUGUGCACAGUGAGACCGCUGUA
rnacentral:sRNA from 1 species